UUCACUAUUAUUUAGUAGUCACAAGAAUAUUUCCCAGGUCUUUCGAGGAAAAAGACGAAGAAGGAAGUAAACUUCAAACUGGAGACUUGAGUCAGUGUCUUUAACAAUUUACGAAAGAGAUUGGAAAUCCUUAUAGGUUUCGAUGUCAAGUGAA